rnacentral:rRNA from 1 species
AGAGUUUGAUCCUGGCUCAGGAUGAACGCUGGCGGCGUGCCUAAUACAUGCAAGUCGAACGCUUUGUCUUUACUGAUAUGAAGAGCUUGCUCUGAUUUGAUUUUAUCUGACAAAGAGUGGCGAACGGGUGAGUAACACGUGGAUAACCUGCCUCAAGGCUGGGGAUAACAUUUGGAAACAGAUGCUAAUACCGAAUAAAACUUAGUAUCGCAUGAUAUAAAGUUAAAAGGCGCUACGGCGUCACCUAGAGAUGGAUCCGCGGUGCAUUAGUUAGUUGGUGGGGUAAAGGCUUACCAAGACAAUGAUGCAUAGCCGAGUUGAGAGACUGAUCGGCCACAUUGGGACUGAGACACGGCCCAAACUCCUACGGGAGGCUGCAGUAGGGAAUCUUCCACAAUGGGCGCAAGCCUGAUGGAGCAACGCCGCGUGUGUGAUGAAGGCUUUCGGGUCGUAAAGCACUGUUGUAUGGGAAGAAAUGCUAAAAUAGGGAAUGAUUUUAGUUUGACGGUACCAUACCAGAAAGGGACGGCUAAAUACGUGCCAGCAGCCGCGGUAAUACGUAUGUCCCGAGCGUUAUCCGGAUUUAUUGGGCGUAAAGCGAGCGCAGACGGUUGAUUAAGUCUGAUGUGAAGGCCC